GACGUAGGGCGCGAGCGUUGUCCGGAUUUAUUGGGCGUAAAGAGCUCGUAGGCGGCUUGUCGCGUCGUCCGUGAAAACCUGGGGCUCAACCCCAGGCUUGCGGUCGAUACGGGCAGGCUAGAGUUCGGUAGGGGAGACUGGAAUUCCUGGUGUAGCGGUGAAAUGCGCAGAUAUCAGGAGGAACACCGGUGGCGAAGGCGGUUCUCUGGGCCUGUACUGACGCUGAGGAACGAAAGCGUGGGGAGCGAACAGG
rnacentral:rRNA from 1 species